UGCGGGAUAGAGGAGCGGUUUCCUUGACGGCCUCAUAAGCCGUAGACGCCGGUUCGAAUCCGGCUCCCGCAACCA
rnacentral:tRNA from 1 species